UUGGCCUUGAAGUCGCAAAGUGGAAAGUUUCGCUCCAUCGGGCUCCCGUCGCGGCCCGGCGACUGGUGAUUAUCUACUUUUUACAGAUGAUGAGACUAAUGCAGUUUGAGGUUGCGGAGCGAAUUAUGAGCAGACACAAGAUUCGUACCUGGGAUCUCUGAUUUUCCUGGCAUGUCAUCUGCCGUUAUGGGUUGGCUUCUGUAUUUAAAAAUUCAGCUUUGAAAAAAAUGACACAAGCAAUGCUCAGAUUUAUCAACAGGACUCCUACCAUCAGCACCAGUGUUUACUCCUCCACGAGGCCUUUGCUGCCGGAUCCCGACUCUUCGCUGGACCCAAUGACUUCCGUGCCCCAAUGGCUGGCAGGAUAAAGGACCAUAGGGCUUCUUGGGACAGAACAGCCCGGUUUUGAAGAGGUCUGCACUAAAUGUGAGAUCAGCAGGGGUCUGGACCCUUCCCUUCAUGACCUUCCUGAAUUUUACCCAAAUUUCAAUGUAUUUUGGCAGCUCACCGGAGUUAGCCGUUUAUUAUUGUGCUUCCACAAAGUUGCAUUAGAAGUUGGAGGGUCCCCCCGCCCCCCAUUUGAGAUUCUUUUUGUUUCAUUUGGCCCUAGCGAGGGAGGUUUAGUGGGAAUGUGUUCACAUUUCCUCAUCAUUGAGAAGUCUAUCUCAUUCUUCUUAAAAAUAGUAUUUCAUAAUAUGAUUGUAUUUUACUUUUUAAGCAUUCCUCUAAUGAAAGUGAUUAAGGUUUCUUUCCCCCUAAUUAUUUGCUCUUACAAAUAAUGCUGCAAUAAAUAUCACUGUUCAUUGGCCGUGGCUGGGUAGCUCAGUUGUCCAUACCCCAAGGUUGCAGGUUCCAUCCCAGAUCAGGGCACAAACAUGACUCAACCAAUGAGUGCAGAAACGAGUGGAACAAUAAAUAAAUGUUUCUCUUUCUCUCCCUUCAUCUCUCUCUAAAAUUAAUACAU